ensembl:lncRNA
AGAGAGCCAGGAGAGGAGGCCGAGUGGCCGGGAAGCUGGCCAAAUGGCAAAGGGCUGAAUGGGCUACAUCAGCUUCUGACAGCGCCUCAGAUAUCUCCGGCGUCCAGUCCCGCUGCUGCGUGAAUGCCAGGGAACACAAAACCCCUCUGCCUGGACGUCACCAAGAAUUCAUAAAUGUUGCUUUUUAAAACAGCACGUUUAGCAGAGCAAAAUGUUCAUAAUUUUGAAGGAUGAAAAUGUGGAGAUGGAAGGGUUUACGCUUGAAUGUCGAAGACUUCUAGGAGGAGGAAAGAUACAAGACUGAUAACGCUUACGAUCGGAUUGGGGGGGUUUUCCUUCCCUCUCCUCUUUCAGCCUUGCAAAGACAAAUAAUGGUUAAGGAUGGAUAAAAUAUUUAAGAGUGGCCAUGCAUAAUUUAUUCCUGAGUUGUUGCUUAUUUCCAGCUGAAUAGUUUGCUCUCAAUUAGGACUUCUCAGAACCGCCAUGUCUCCUUGACAAACUGACAUUAGGCUUAUUUUUACUCUUUCCUUCCUAAGGCUAAUUGUUUUUAUUCUUUGUUGUGGUUGUUGAAGGACUCAUUCCUAGAUGUUCUUUUUAUCAAUAACAAAAAUCAAAAUUGGAGGCAGUUUUUCUUUUUUUAAAAUAUUUAUUCCUGGGUCUUACUCAGCUUACUCAGAGCUUCAGAGACAAUCUGGGAAAGACAAAAAUAUGCUUGCGUAUAUACCUGCCUCUAUGUGUGCUUAGUAGCUCAGUUGUGUCUGACUCUGAGACCCGAUGGACUGCAGCCCUCCAGGCUCCUCUGACUCUGGGAUCCUCCAGGCAAGAAUACCAGUGUGGGUAGCCAUUCCCUGCUCCAGGG